AGAGCGAACGCUGGCGGCAGGCUUAACACAUGCAAGUCGAGCGGGCGUAGCAAUACGUCAGCGGCAGACGGGUGAGUAACGCGUGGGAACGUACCUUUUGGUUCGGAACAACACAGGGAAACUUGUGCUAAUACCGGAUAAGCCCUUACGGGGAAAGAUUUAUCGCCGAAAGAUCGGCCCGCGUCUGAUUAGCUAGUUGGUGAGGUAAUGGCUCACCAAGGCGACGAUCAGUAGCUGGUCUGAGAGGAUGAUCAGCCACAUUGGGACUGAGACACGGCCCAAACUCCUACGGGAGGCAGCAGUGGGGAAUAUUGGACAAUGGGCGCAAGCCUGAUCCAGCCAUGCCGCGUGAGUGAUGAAGGCCCUAGGGUUGUAAAGCUCUUUUGUGCGGGAAGAUAAUGACGGUACCGCGAAGAAUAAGCCCCGGACUAACUUCGCGCCAGCAGCCGC
rnacentral:rRNA from 1 species